GGAGGAUUAGCUCAGCUGGGAGAGCACCUSCCUUACAAGCAGGGGGUCGGCGGUUCGAUCCCGUCAUCCUCCACCA
rnacentral:tRNA from 1 species